rnacentral:ncRNA from 1 species
UUUUAGAAUCGGCAAACUUAUCGAAAGGUAAGGACGCAAAGCUAUGGGUCUAAGGGCAAAAAGCCUAUGAUUGCCAGGUUGCCGUU